CGUCAUUUUCUCUUCUAAAACCCCAAUUUUAUGAGUUGUUAGAGUUGUACAUUUCACAUCAAGCUUGAAAUUACACUGUUCGCAAAAGUAUAUGAAGUCAUGACAAAUGUCUCUACACUCAUCACAUGUAAUUAACUGGUCACGCCAACGAGUUGAAGUAUAGAGGUUAAGAGGAUGGUUAGAAUGAAAAGGGUGUUGUAUCUCAUAUGACAGUUUAGCACAUUUUUCAUGUAGGUGAAGACCAGGACAUGUCUUACAGAAGAAGCUUGAACCAUUAAGUUCCAAACGACAACCCCCUGC
rnacentral:lncRNA from 1 species